rnacentral:rRNA from 1 species
UCGAGGAUCUUCGUCAAUGGGCGCAAGCCUGAACGAGCGAUGCCGCGUGAGCGAUGAAGGCCUUCGGGUUGUAAAGCUCAAAAGAAGCGAGAAAGGGAAACUUGAUCAAGCUUCAGUAAGCUCGGGCUAAGUUCGUGCCAGCAGCCGCGGUAAGACGAACCGAGCGAACGUUGUUCGGAAUCACUGGGCUUAAAGGGCGCGUAGGCGGGUGCUCAAGUCCGGGGUGAAAUCCCACAGCUCAACUGUGGAACUGCCUCGGAUACUGGGUGUCUCGAGGGUGGCAGGGGUAUGCGGAACUAUCGGUGGAGCGGUGAAAUGCGUUGAUAUCGAUAGGAACUCCGGUGGCGAAGGCGGCAUACUGGUCCACUUCUGACGCUGAGGCGCGAAAGCCAGGGGAGCAAACG